rnacentral:rRNA from 1 species
AUAAAAAACCAAUGCCCUUCGGGGCUCUCUGGUGAUUCAUAAUAACUUAACGAAUCGCAUGGCCUUGUGCCGGCGAUAGUUCAUUCAAAUUUCUGCCCUAUCAACUUUCGAUGGUAUGGUACUUGGCUUACCAUGGUUU